rnacentral:rRNA from 1 species
UCAGGCCUAACACAUGCAAGUCGAGGGGUAGCAGGAUUAAGCUUGCUUAAUUGCUGACGACCGGCGCACGGGUGCGUAACGCGUAUGCAACCUACCUUAUACUGGGGUAUAGCCCGGAGAAAUUCGAAUUAAUCCCCCAUAGUACUAAUGAAUCGCAUGGUUUAUUAGUUAAAGCGUCAGCGGUAUAAGAUGGGCAUGCGUCCUAUUAGCUAGAUGGUGAGGUAACGGCUCACCAUGGCUACGAUAGGUAGGGGGCCUGAGAGGGUGGUCCCCCACACUGGUACUGAGACACGGACCAGACUCCUACGGGAGGCAGCAGUGAGGGAUAUUGGUCAAUGGGCGCA